rnacentral:rRNA from 1 species
UGCCAGACUCCUACGGGAGGCAGCAGUGGGGAAUCUUCCGCAAUGGGCGAAAGCCUGACGGAGCAACGCCGCGUGAUCGAAUGAAGGCCUUCGGGUUGUAAAGAUCUGUUGACAGGGACGAAUAAGCAAUGCGAAUAGUUUUGUGUAUGACGGUACCUGUUUAGAAAGCUCCGGCUAACUACGUGCCAGCAGCCGCGGUAAUACGGAGGAUGCGAGCGUUAUCCGGAUUUAUUGGGUUUAAAGGGUGCGUAGGCGGUUUUUUAAGUUAGUGGUUAAACGUCGGGGCUUCACCUUGAUUUGCCAUUAAUACUGUAAGACUCGAGUUCAGACGAGGUAGGCGGAAUAAGUUAAGUAGCGGUGAAAUGCUUAGAUAUAACUUAGAACUCCGAUAGCGAAGGCAGCUUACCAGACUGCGACUGACGCUGAAGCACGAGAGCGUGGGUAGCGAACAGGAUUAGAUACCCGCGUA